rnacentral:rRNA from 1 species
UACGUAGGUGGCAAGCGUUAUCCGGAAUUAUUGGGCGUAAAGAGCGCGCAGGUGGUUGAUUAAGUCUGAUGUGAAAGCCCACGGCUUAACCGUGGAGGGUCAUUGGAAACUGGUCGACUUGAGUGCAGAAGAGGGAAGUGGAAUUCCAUGUGUAGCGGUGAAAUGCGUAGAGAUAUGGAGGAACACCAGUGGCGAAGGCGGCUUCCUGGUCUGUAACUGACACUGAGGCGCGAAAGCGUGGGGAGCAAACGGGAUUAGAUACCCU